rnacentral:rRNA from 1 species
GACGAACGCUGGCGGCGUGCCUAACACAUGCAAGUCGAGCGAAUGAAGUUCCUUCGGGAAUGGAUUUAGCGGCGGACGGGUGAGUAACACGUGGGCAACCUGCCUCAUAGAGGGGAAUAGCCUUCCGAAAGGGAGAUUAAUACCGCAUAAGAUUGUAGUAUCGCAUGAUACAGCAAUUAAAGGAGCAAUCCGCUAUGAGAUGGGCCCGCGGCGCAUUAGCUCGUUGGUGAGGUAACGGCUCACCAAGGCGACGAUGCGUAGCCGACCUGAGAGGGUGAUCGGCCACAUUGGGAAUGAGACACGGCCCAGACUCCUACGGGAGGCAGCAGUGGGGAAUAUUGCACAAUGGGGGAAACCCUGAUGCAGCAACGCCGCGUGAGUGAUGACGGCCUUCGGGUUGUAAAGCUCUGUCUUCAGGGACGAUAAUGACGGUACCUGAGGAGGAAGCCACGGCUAACUACGUG